UCAAGUGAAUAAGUGCAUGUGGUGGAUGCCUUGGCGAUUACAGGCGAUGAAGGACGUUGUAGCCUGCGAAAAGCUGCGGGGAGCUGGCAAACAAGCUUUGAUCCGCAGAUGUCCGAAUGGGGAAACCCACCCGCAAGGGUAUCGAUGGCUGAAUACAUAGGUCGUCGAGGCGAACGUGGCGAACUGAAACAUCUAAGUAGCCACAGGAAAAGAAAUCAACCGAGAUUCCGAAAGUAGUGGCGAGCGAAAUCGGAGCAGCCUGUGCGUGAUAGUCGAUGCGUUAGCGAAACGGCAUGGAAAGGCCGGCCAUAGCGGGUGAUAGCCCCUUGCGCGAAAACGGAUCGGUGGUACUGAGCGCACGACAAGUAGGGCGGGACACGUGUAAUCCUGUCUGAAGAUGGGGGGACCAUCCUCCAAGGCUAAAUACUCGUAAUCGACCGAUAGUGAACAAGUACUGUGAAGGAAAGGCGAAAAGAACCCCGGGAGGGGAGUGAAAUAGAUCCUGAAACCGCAUGCAUACAAACAGUCGGAGCCUCGCAAGGGGUGACGGCGUACCUUUUGUAUAAUGGGUCAGCGACUUACGUUCAGUGGCAAGCUUAACCAGAUAGGGGAGGCGCAGGGAAACCGAGUCCGAACAGGGCGCCAUAGUCGCUGGGCGUAGACCCGAAACCAGGUGAUCUAUCCAUGGUCAGGAUGAAGGUUGGGUAACACCAGCUGGAGGUCCGAACCGACUAAUGUUGCAAAAUUAGCGGAUGAACUGUGGAUAGGGGUGAAAGGCUAAUCAAACCUGGAAAUAGCUGGUUCUCCCCGAAAACUAUUUAGGUAGUGCGUCAUGUAUUGCUCCAGGGGGUAGAGCACUGUAAUGGUUGUGGGGGCCAUCGCGGCUUACCACGCCAUAGCAAACUCCGAAUACCUGGAAGUAUGAGCAUGGCAGACAGUCGCCGGGUGCUAACGUCCGGCGGCAAGAGGGAAACAACCCAGACCUACAGCUAAGGUCCCAAAGUGUGGCUAAGUGGGAAACGAAGUGGGAAGGCUAAAACAGUCAGGAUGUUGGCUUAGAAGCAGCCAUCAUUUAAAGAAAGCGUAAUAGCUCACUGAUCGAGUCGUCCUGCGCGGAAGAUGUAACGGGGCUAAGCCAUGCACCGAAGCUUGGGCUGUACUCUUUGAGUACGGGGUAGGGGAGCGUUCUGUAAGCCUGUGAAGGUGUCUCGCAAGGGAUGCUGGAGGUAUCAGAAGUGCGAAUGCUGACAUGAGUAGCGUUAAAGCGGGUGAAAAGCCCGCUCGCCGUAAGCGCAAGGUUUCCUACGCAACGUUCAUCGGCGUAGGGUGAGUCGGCCCCUAAGGUGAGGGCGAAAGCCAUAGCUGAUGGGAAGCUGGUUAAUAUUCCAGCACCGAUUCCAGUGCGAUGGGGGGACGGAUCGUGGAAGGUUGUCCGGGUGUUGGAUGUCCCGGUUCCUGACCUGUAGGUGUCUGGCAGGCAAAUCCGCCAGGCGCAUGCCGAGGGGUUGGGACGAGUGAGCUUGCUCGCGAAGCAACUGGAAGUGGUUCCAAGAAAAGCCUCUAAGCUUCAGCUGGAAAUCGACCGUACCGCAAACCAACACUGGUGCGCGAGAUGAGUAUUCUCAGGCGCUUGAGAGAACUCGGGAGAAGGAACUCGGCAAAUUGACACCGUAACUUCGGAAGAAGGUGUGCCCUGGUAGCUUGAGUGUGAACAACACGAGGGCCAAGGGGUUGCAAAAAAUAGGUGGCUGCGACUGUUUAUUAAAAACACAGCACUCUGCAAACACGAAAGUGGACGUAUAGGGUGUGACGCCUGCCCGGUGCCGGAAGGUUAAGUGAUGGGGUGCAAGCUCUUGAUCGAAGCCCCGGUAAACGGCGGCCGUAACUAUAACGGUCCUAAGGUAGCGAAAUUCCUUGUCGGGU
rnacentral:rRNA from 1 species